GCCUGAGAUAUUUUAAAGUUAGGAACAUCAGCAGAUGUCCAGCCACCAGGAUACUAUGGCAUGAUCCCCUACAGCUCCAAGUGGCCAUGGUUCACUGUUCCUGCACCUGAAUUCUCCAUUGGUUACAAAGAGGAGUUCUGCAUAAAAAUCAGUGGCCUGUUUGGCUCAGGUGUGGUAGUGAAUAUGCCAGCCCAUGCUCCUGAUGAAGGGACCUUCUGUUGUCUUUUUUUUUCUAUUAAAGAAACAGAAGCUAAUUAAAUCUUCCUCCAUUCCCUAACAUGGGAACUGCCAUACUCAGAGGAGCAGUCUUGGUUUGGUAUCUUUUUUCUGGUGGUGAGUGGCCUUACAGCAAGAUGUCUUACAGCAAAAUCCCAGGAGGAGACCAAAGCCCUGAGGUAAGUGGGGAAGUCAGAUACCACGAGGAAGCAUGAGCAGGAGAGCGCAAUAGGGGAGGACUGAGAAAGCAGGAUGAUCAGCGAGUUACAGGCAAGUCUCAUCUUACGCAGGGGUUCCGUUCUGCAGUUAGCACGUAAAGCGAAAACAGCGUAUAGUGAAACACUCAUUGAGCUGAAUGGUGGGCGGAAUCGCCCGCACUACAGAUGCAGUUUUUAUAUUAUUGUUUUUCUUUUUUUCCCCCGUUUUUGCUGACCGCACAAAGCUGAAUUCGCGCAUGUUAAAUGCGCCUAAGAUGCGACUUGCCUGUAUCUUAAGUGCCUAUACACAAAUGCAAGAAGCCUGGGAACAAGCAGGGAGAACUGGAAGUCCUGCCACAGUCACAGAAUUAUAUGAUAGGAAUAACACUUGGUGGGAUAACUCACAUGACUGGAAUACUGUCAUGGAUAGAUAUAAACUGUUCAGGAAGGACAGGCAGGGCAGAAAAGGUGGGGGAGUUGCAUUGUAUGUAAGAGAGCAAUAUGACUGCUCAGAGCUCUAGUAUGAAACUUCAGAAAUACCUGAGCAUCUCUGAAUUAAGUUUAGAAGUGUGAGCAACAAGGGUGAUGUAGUGGUGGGAGUCUGUUAUAGACCAUCAGACCAGGGAGAUGAGGUGGACGAGGCUUUCUUCAGGCAACUAACAGAAGUUACUAAAUCACAGACCUUGGUUCUCAUGGGGGAACUUCAAUCACCCCAAUAUCUGCUGGGAGAGCAAUACAGUGGU